AGAUUUCAAAAGCCUAGGGUUUCUGAGAGACACACACAAAGGGAUGAGAAGAAAAGAUUGGGAACAGCUAUUGUGCACAGAGUCUGGAUCAUCGCUGAAUUCAAUUGACAUCUGAAUUUUACUGGUGAAGAUA
rnacentral:lncRNA from 1 species